UGGAUCCAGACUUUGAUCAUGGCUCAGGACGAACGCUGGCGGCGUGCCUAACACAUGCAAGUCGAACGGAACUUUUUUAAAAGAUUUCUUCGGAAUGAAUUUGAUUAAGUUUAGUGGCGGACGGGUGAGUAACGCGUGAGUAACCUGCCUCUAAGAGGGGAAUAACAUUCUGAAAAGAAUGCUAAUACCGCAUAAUAUAUAUUUAUCGCAUGGUAGAUAUAUCAAAGAUUUAUCGCUUAGAGAUGGACUCGCGUCCGAUUAGUUAGUUGGUGAGGUAACGGCUCACCAAGACUGCGAUCGGUAGCCGGACUGAGAGGUUGAACGGCCACAUUGGGACUGAGACACGGCCCAGACUCCUACGGGAGGCAGCAGUGGGGGAUAUUGCGCAAUGGGGGAAACCCUGACGCAGCAACGCCGCGUGAAGGAUGAAGGUCUUCGGAUUGUAAACUUCUUUUAUUAAGGACGAAGAAAGUGACGGUACUUAAUGAAUAAGCUCCGGCUAACUACGUGCCAGCAGCCGCGGUAAUACGUAGGGAGCAAGCGUUGUCCGGAUUUACUGGGUGUAAAGGGUGCGUAGGCGGCUUUGCAAGUCAGAUGUGAAAUCUAUGGGCUCAACCCAUAGCCUGCAUUUGAAACUGCAGAGCUUGAGUGAAGUAGAGGCAGGCGGAAUUCCCCGUGUAGCGGUGAAAUGCGUAGAGAUGGGGAGGAACACCAGUGGCGAAGGCGGCCUGCUGGGCUUUAACUGACGCUGAGGCACGAAAGCGUGGGUAGCAAACAGGAUUAGAUACCCUGGUAGUCCACGCUGUAAACGAUGAUUACUAGGUGUGGGGGGUCUGACCCCUUCCGUGCCGGAGUUAACACAAUAAGUAAUCCACCUGGGGAGUACGGCCGCAAGGUUGCAACUCAAAGGAAUUGACGGA
rnacentral:rRNA from 1 species